GGAGAGUGAAGAGAUUCCAGUGUCUAGUGACCAAGGUCAAGAAGGAGAAAGUAAGCCUGAACGCAAAAAGCCAACUGAGGAAGCUGCUGAAUCUGAGGAGCAAAUAGCAAGUGAAGAGAUCCCAGUGCCCAGUGAUAAAGAAGAGAAUGCAUUUGAGCCUGACAUGGACCUCGCUGAGGAAGG